AGAACGAACGCUGGCGGCAUGCCUAAUACAUGCAAGUCGAACGAAGGCUUCGGCCUUAGUGGCGCACGGGUGCGUAACGCGUGGGAAUCUGCCCCUUGGUUCGGAAUAACAGUUGGAAACGACUGCUAAUACCGGAUGAUGACGAAAGUCCAAAGAUUUAUCGCCAAGGGAUGAGCCCGCGUAGGAUUAGCUAGUUGGUGAGGUAAAGGCUCACCAAGGCGACGAUCCUUAGCUGGUCUGAGAGGAUGAUCAGCCACACUGGGACUGAGACACGGCCCAGACUCCUACGGGAGGCAGCAGUAGGGAAUAUGGACAAGUGGGACGAAAGCCUGAUCCAAGCAAGUGCCGCGUGAGUGAGUGAAGGCCGUUAGGGUUGUAAAGUCUUACUUUACCCGAGUAUGAAUAAGUAGACAGUAG
rnacentral:rRNA from 1 species